rnacentral:rRNA from 1 species
AUGGGGCUGUGUUUCAUAGUGGCUCGAGCGACGUUUGCGUGGACAUCUUGGGGGUGGCCUCGGCGGCACUCUACCCUUCGACCUCGGCGGCGGUACAUCGGUGUCGUGCCUUUCGGUAUCGGUGGCGUGAUGUCUUUCGGCUUCUCCGGCGGCACACCGGUGUCGCCGCACGAACUCGGCUAUCCGACGCCCUUCGUACGUGCCAGUGAUGUUUCCCUGCGAGCUGUUGUUUUGGUGCCUGUCAUUUUCUCCCUAGGCCUGUUUGUGGUUCUUUGUCGAUGGUGGUAUGAGUUGCUUUGCGGGGCUCGCUCUGGAGGUGUCGGCUUCCGGGGGCUUCGGUUUGGUCUCUGUAACCAGCCUUCUCUCCCAUUUCUUUCUUUCUUUCUUCUAGUGUUGGGCUAUCCUCUUGGGUGCCUUCCUUUGUAA